rnacentral:lncRNA from 1 species
CUCUUUUAACUGAGAUUCCAACUCUACAGGAGGUCCUCUCCACUCAUCCCUCCAUGCCUGACCUGAGGAGCAGCUUGGCUUUUCCCUCGCUAAGGGAAAAACCUUUAGUACCUUCCUUCUCUACAAACAUUAGAAACAGCUUAAUCAAGUUGUCCUCAGGCAACAAGGAUACUUCAGGCUUUCCAGGUCAUCUGGCACAGACUAUUAAAUGACUAGCACUUCCCGUUCUCAGGGUGAUGUAUCUGCUUCCUGAUGGUGUUGGCUCUGACUAUCUUCCUACUUCCACCCAGUGGCUCCAGCUGUGGCUGCCAAGAAAACCCCAGCUGAUGGAGGAUGAGAGGUGAAAUCAGGACACACAAAGACCUGUUACCAUCAUCUUUCACCUGGAUUCUCCUAAAGCAACAGCUGCUCAUCUCAUCACUCUGAGUUACUAAUCCUUCUUUCUGAGACAAAAGCCCAAAAGGCAAAUGGGAAAUGACUUGUCAGAUGACAUCACCAAUAAUUGAACAUAAAGCAGACUCAAAUUAGGACAAAA